CUGGGAGCAGGUUACUGGUUUCCAGUCAGCAGCUGGUUACAAACCUGAGACCAGCAGAUAUCAGUCAGUUAUGACAGAUCUGAACUUUGACCUCAAUAUGAGAAACUUCAGACUGAUAAGAGGAACCAAAGAGCCUGUAAAGGGAAAGG